rnacentral:rRNA from 1 species
GGAGUUCAGACGUGUGCUCUUCCGAUCUCGGCAGGCCUAACACAUGCAAGUCGAGCGGAAACGAUCCUAGCUUGCUAGGAGGCGUCGAGCGGCGGACGGGUGAGUAACACGUGAGAAUCUGCCCAUUAGAGGGGGAUAACCUGGGGAAACCCAGGCUAAUACCGCAUAAUCCCUACGGGGGAAAGCAGGGGAUCUUCGGACCUUGUGCUGAUGGAUGAGCUCGCGUCGGAUUAGCUUGUUGGUGAGGUAAUGGCUCACCAAGGCGACGAUCCGUAGCUGGUCUUAGAGGAUGAUCAGCCACACCGGGACUGAGACACGGCCCGGACUCCUACGGGAGGCAGCAGUGGGGAAUCUUGGACAAUGGGGGCAACCCUGAUCCAGCCAUGCCGCGUGUGUGAAGAAGGCCUUCGGGUUGUAAAGCACUUUCAGUAGGGAGGAAGGCUUAUCCUUAAUACGGAUGAGUACUUGACGUUACCUACAGAAGAAGCACCGGCUAAUUUCGUGCCAGCAGCCGCGGUAAUACGAAAGGUGCGAGCGUUAAUCGGAAUUACUGGGCGUAAAGCGCGCGUAGGCGGUUUGCUAAGUCAGAUGUGAAAGCCCCGGGCUCAACCUGGGAACUGCAUUUGAAACUGGCAGGCUAGAAUGCAGUAGAGGGAGGUGGAAUUUCCGGUGUAGCGGUGAAAUGCGUAGAGAUCGGAAGGAACACCAGUGGCGAAGGCGGCCUCCUGGACUGACAUUGACGCUGAGGUGCGAAAGCGUGGGGAGCAAACAGGAUUAGAUACCCUGGUAGUCCACGCCGUAAACGAUGUCUACUAGUCGUUGGGAAUCUUAGUAUUCUUGGUGACGAAGUUAACGCGAUAAGUAGACCGCCUGGGGAGUACGGCCGCAAGGUUAAAACUCAAAUGAAUUGACGGGGGCCCGCACAAGCGGUGGAGCAUGUGGUUUAAUUCGA